rnacentral:rRNA from 1 species
UACGUAGGGUCCGAGCGUUGUCCGGAAUUACUGGGCGUAAAGCGUGCGUAGGCGGUUUGUCGCGUCUGCUGUGAAAACCUAAGGCUCAACCUUGGGCUUGCAGUGGGUACGGGCAGACUAGAGUGCGGUAGGGGGUGACUGGAAUUCCUGGUGUAGCGGUGGAAUGCGCAGAUAUCAGGAGGAACACCGAUGGCGAAGGCAGGUCACUGGGCCGCAACUGACGCUGAGGAGCGAAAAGCAUGGGGGAGCGAACAGG